rnacentral:rRNA from 1 species
GAUGAACGCUGGCGGCGUGCCUAAUACAUGCAAGUCGAGCGAACGGACGAGAAGCUUGCUUUUCUGAUUUUAUCGGCGGACGGGAGAUUAACAUAUGGACAACCUAACUAUAAGACUGGGAUAACUUUGCGAAACCGUAUCUAAUACCGGAUAAUUUUUUGCACCGCAUUGUUCAAAAGUUAAAGACGGUCUUUCUUUCACUUAUAGAUUAAUACGCGCUGCAUUAACUAGUUGGCAAGGUAAAGGCUUACCCAGGCAACGAUGCAUAGCCGACCUCAGAGGGUGGUCGGACACACUGGAAGUGAGACAGGGUACAGACUCCUGCAGGAGGAAGCAGUAGGGAAUCUUACGCGAUGGGGGAGAGCGUGAUGGAGGAACGCCGGGUGAGUGAUGAACGUCUUAGGCUCGUAAAACUAUGUUAUUAGGAAAGAACAUAUGUGUAAGUACCUGUGAACAUAUUGACGGUACCUAAUCAGAAAGCCACGGCUAACUCCGUG